rnacentral:lncRNA from 1 species
CUGCUAUACAAAUGUUCAGAGUUUAAACGUUGCUGAUGGUGAAGGUAAAAAUCAUACUAUAAACUAGAAAGGUAGCCAUCCCUGUCUGAGGCAGUUAAACCACAGAGUUUGGCUCUGGUACAUCUAGGGAAAGCAUCUUAGAGGAGAGAUCAUGUCACAAGAAAGUUCCGAGGCAAGAAAAGGCAACAAAGGCAUAGACUCACAAGUCCAGCCUUUCCUCCACUCCUAUACUCUUCCUGCUGGGUCUUUCUUGAUUGAAGAUGUAAGACUCUCUAACCUUUCACUCCAAGUCCCCUGGAUUCAUAGGAAUAAACAAGAGUCUUCCAAGCACACUUCAAGAAGACACCAUGAAGAUGAUGUACUGUACUCUGGGUCUCCGGAGACAAGAACCUGUGACACCCAUCAGGCCUAAGCAACCCGAACCUCUGAAUAACCCACAGGAGACUGGACCGAGAUGAAGGAUAGACUCUAAAAGGACAGUCAUGUAAAUGGGAAGGACUUUGAUCUCAGCUGCUAUCAGUGAUGUGAACCUACCUAUGGCCCUCAAGGAUUAAGAAAGAAAAGAGGGCAGAAUUUGCUAGAAGGGAAACUGACAACGAAGCACCCAAUGUUCUUUGAGAAGAGGAGCAUUUUAAAAAGCUG